rnacentral:rRNA from 1 species
GAUGAACGCUGGCGGCGUGCCUAAUACAUGCAAGUCGAGCGAAUGGAUUAAGAGCUUGCUCUUAUGAAGUUAGCGGCGGACGGGUGAGUAACACGUGGGUAACCUGCCCAUAAGACUGGGAUAACUCCGGGAAACCGGGGCUAUACCGGAUAAUAUUUUGAACUGCAUGGUUCAAAAUUGAAAGGCGGCUUCGGCUGUCACUUAUGGAUGGACCCGCGUCGCAUUAGCUAGUUGGUGAGGUAACGGCUCACCAAGGCAACGAUGCGUAGCCGACCUGAGAGGGUGAUAGGCCACACUGGGACUGAGACACGGCCCAGACUCCUACGGGAGGCAGCAGUAGGGAAUCUUCCGCAAUGGACGAAAGUCUGACGGAGCAACGCCGCGUGAGUGAUGAAGGCCUUCGGGUCGUAAAACUCUGUUGUUAGGGAAGAACAAGUGCUAGUUGAAUAAGCUGGCACCUUGACGGUACCUAACCAGAAAGCCACGGCUAACUACGUGCCAGCCGCCGCAGUAA